rnacentral:rRNA from 1 species
UACGAAGGGGGCUAGCGUUGCUCGGAAUUACUGGGCGUAAAGCGCACGUAGGCGGUCUUUUAAGUCGGGGGUGAAAUCCUGGAGCUCAACUCCAGAACUGCCUUCGAUACUGGAAGACUUGAGUCCGGGAGAGGUGAGUGGAACUGCGAGUGUAGAGGUGAAAUUCGUAGAUAUUCGCAAGAACACCAGUGGCGAAGGCGGCUCACUGGCCCGGUACUGGCGCUGAGGCACGAAAGCGUGGGGAGCAAACAGG